AGAUGAGUGAGGUUUCAGCCCUGUGAGCCGGUUCAGCAUGGAGCAGCUGCAAGGGCUGUGGGUUCUCUGAAAUCUGCCUGGCACUGCAGGGGAGCCAAGAAAUGGGGAGGAGGGAAUGAAGGAGAUGGAGGAUGGUAACCCACCAACAUUCUACCAAACGGAUUCAUUGUGGAGAUCAGGGAAAAGGCUUUUCCCACUGAGGAAGAACUGAGUGAAGUCAAAUAAAGAUCCACUGUGAUCACAAACUGUUCGUUUUUAAGAGACAGAAGCAGCUGGACAUCGAGAGGAGCAUAUCGGAGGAGGAACACACAGGUGGCUGGAUGUCGGGAGGAACGCACCGGCAUGCCAGCAGGCCC
rnacentral:lncRNA from 10 species